rnacentral:rRNA from 1 species
UUAGGCAAAUCCGUUGUACAAUCCGAAGACGUGAUGUGGAGCGAAAUAAAGUAGUGAAGCGUGUGAGCCAUGUGCCGAGAAAAGCUGCUAUUGUGUAAUGCGUGCCCGUACCGUAAACCGACACAGGUGGAUGAGGAGAGAAUCCUAAGGCCGACGGAAGAAGCAUUGUUAAGGAAUUCGGCAAAAUGACCCCGUAACUUCGGGAGAAGGGGUGCCUGCGAGAGCAGGCCGCAGAGAAUAGGCUCAAGCAACUGUUUAGCAAAAACACAGGUCUAUGCGAAACCGAAAGGUGAAGUAUAUGGGCUGACGCCUGCCCGGUGCUGGAAGGUUAAGAGGAGAGGUUAGCGUAAGCGAAGCCUUGAAUUUAAGCCCCAGUAAACGGCGGCCGUAACAAUAACGGCCCUAAGGUAGCGAGAUUCCUUGUCGGGUAAGUUCCGACCCGCACGAAAGGCGUAAUGAUUUGAGCACUGUCUUGACAAUGCAUCCGGUGAAAUUGAAGUACCAGUGAAGAUGCUGGUUACCCGCGCCAGGACGGAAAGACCCCAUGGAGCUUUACUCCAGUUUGAUACUGGGAUUCGGUACUGCAUGUACAGGAUAGGUGGGAGACGAAGAAGGAUGGACGCCAGUCUGUCCGGAGUCGCUGUUGGGAUACCACCCCUGUAGUACGGGGUUUCUAACCAGUUGCCAUGAACUGGCAAUGGGACAAUGUCAGGCGGGGAGUUUGACUGGGGCGGUCGCCUCCGAAAGGGUAUCGGAGGCGCUCAAAGGUUCCCUCAGAAUGGUUGGAAACCAUUUGAAGAGUGCAAAGGCAGAAGGGAGCUUGACUGCGACACCGACGGGUGGAGCAGGUACGAAAGUAGGGCUUAGUGAUCCGGUGGUAUAAAGUGGGAUUGCCAUCGCUCAACGGAUAAAAGCUACCCUGGGAUAACAGGCUUAUCACUCCCAAGAGUCCACAUCGACGGAGUGGUUUGGCACCUCGAUGUCGGCUCAUCGCAUCCUGGGGCUGUAGCAGGUCCCAAGGGUUGUGCUGUUCGCCCAUUAAAGCGGUACGCGAGCUGGGUUCAGAACGUCGUGAGACAGUUCGGUCCCUAUCCGGCGCGGGCGGAGGAUAUUUGAGAGGAGCUGUCCUUAGUACGAGAGGACCGGGAUGGACGGACCACUGGUGUAUCUGUUGUCGACCAACGGCAUGGCAGAGUAGCCAAGUCUGGAAGGGAUAAACGCUGAAGGCAUCUAAGCGUGAAGCCCCCCUCAAGAUGAGAUAUCCCUCCUUCGGGAGUAAGACCCCUUGAAGACUACAAGGUAGAUAGGGCAGAGGUGGAAGCAUGGCAACAUGUGGAGCUGACUGUUACUAAUAGGUCGAGGGCUUAAC